rnacentral:rRNA from 1 species
UACGGAGGAUGCGAGCGUUAUCCGGAUUUAUUGGGUUUAAAGGGUGCGCAGGCGGCACGGCAAGCCGGCGGUCAAAUCGCGGGGCUCAACCCCGCCCAGCCGUCGGUACUGCCGGGCUAGAGUGGGCGAGAAGUGCGCGGAAUGCGUGGUGUAGCGGUGAAAUGCAUAGAUAUCACGCAGAACUCCGAUUGCGAAGGCAGCGCACCGGCGCCCUACUGACGCUCAGGCACGAAAGCGUGGGUAUCGAACAGG